AAGAUAUUAAGAUAUUUAUUCUGUUAGCUUUCAAGGUUAAAAGUGCAUCUAAUA
rnacentral:tRNA from 1 species